rnacentral:rRNA from 1 species
AUGCCACUACCAGAUAGUUCGAUUCUUCAAGAUAUAAAUAAUAGAUUAGUAAAUGAGGAACUAAACUACGAUAAAGAUUCUUUAAUAAUAGAGCACACAGAGUUACUACAAAAGCUAAAUCAAGAUCAGAGGAUGGCUUUUGAUGUUAUAACAGAAUCAGUUAGCAGCAGUUGUGGAAAACUGAUUUUCGUUCAUGGAUAUGGUGGAACUGGAAAGACAUUUCUGUGGAAAGCAGUCACGACAAAAUUAAGAUCCGAAGGAAAAAUAGUUCUAGCAGUAGCUUCAAGUGAUAUAGCAGCACUUCUUUUACAGGGUGGAAGAAUAGCUCAUUCAAGAUUUCACAUUCCACUCAAAAUCACAAACGAGUCCACAUGCAACAUCAAGCAAGGAACAUUUCUCGCGGAACUAAUAAAGAAAACUUCACUGAUAAUAUGGGAUGAAGCACCUAUGACACACAAGCACUGUUCUGAGGCACUAGACAAGAGUUUGAGAGACAUGCUUCGAUUCACAAAUGAGGUUGCCGAGCAUAGACCGUUUGGAGGAAUGACAGUAGUCUUGGGAGGUGACUUCAGGCAAAUCCUACCAGUUAUACCAAAGGGGAAAAGGGAACAUAUCAUUUCAGCAUCUAUAAAGAGAUCGUACCUAUGGAAGAACUUUGAGGAGUACCGACUCACAGAAAAUAUGCGUCUGAAUUCAUUCGAAGGUAGUCCUGAAGAGAAAGCAAAGACAACAGAAUUUGCAAACUGGAUACUAAACAUCGGCGAUGGCACAACAACAACAAUAGAUGAUGAAGACUGGGUUAGCAUCCCAGAAGACCUUAUUUUACAUAAAGGAGAUGACCCAAAAGCAUCUAUAGUUAAUAAUACAUACCCUGAAUUACACAACAAGUACACUGAUAGAACAUACCUAGAGGAAAGAGCGAUCCUGUGCCCAAGGAACGAGACUGUUGACCAGAUUAACACCUACAUCAUGAGUCAAAUUCCUGGAGAAGAGGUAACCUAUCUCAGUUCAGAUACAACAUGCAAGGCAAUGUCUAUGGUGGAAGACGAAGAUAUGUUGUACCCAACUGAAUUUCUAAAUAGUCUAACAUUUUUUGGAAUACCCGAUCAUGAACUGAGGUUGAAAAUAGUAUUACCAGUAAUGCUUAUGAGGAACAUCAAUCAAAGUGCAGGACUUUGCAACGGGACAAGACUAACAAUAACACAGCUAGGAAAGCGUUUCAUCGAAGGCCAGGUCAUAACAGGUGCUAACAUUGGUGACAAAGUUUACAUCCCAUUAAUUAUUAUGUCACCAAGUGAUUCAAAAUGGCCUUUCAUUCUGAAAAGGAGACAAUACCCAAUAUCAGUGUGCUUUGCUAUGACAAUAAACAAAAGUCAGGGGCAAUCUCUCAAAAAGGUUGGACUCUACUUAGAAAGGCAAGUGUUCACACAUGGCCAACUCUAUGUUGCAAUGUCAAGGGUUACCAACAGAAAUGGAUUGCGGAUACUUAUAUCAGAUGAAGAGCGUCCAUCCCACAAGGUUGCAAAAAACAUUGUUUACAAGGAUAUAUUAUAG